UGCAUUGUUUGUAAUCAUACUGUUUAUAGGACACAAGUUCAAGUUCACCAAGUUCAUCAAGUCAUUCUUCAGCUCCUGCAACAGUUAGUGCACAUCAAGAAGAUGAAGAUUUAGCCAGAGCAAUUCAGUUGUCCCUUCAGGAAGCAGAAAGUAGUAAGCCCAAGGUCUCUAGUUUGCAUCCAAGCUUCAGUUCAUCUUCACCAGCUCCUGCAAGAAGGGUUGAGGCCAAAAAAGUCCGAGCAUUGUACGAUUUUGAGGCAGUUGAAGACAAUGAACUUACAUUUAAGUGUGGAGAGAUAAUAUCUGUUCUUGACGACAGGUUGGUUCCUAACCUAAUCUUGUUUUGCUGAACAUUUCUUUUAUCAAACACCUGCGGUUUGUUUGGGG